GUGAGCAACCUGCCUUUCAGUGGGGGACAACAUUUGGAAACGAAAUGCUAAUACCGCAUAAGACCACAGUGUCGCAUGGCACAGGGGUCAAAGGAUUUAUUCCGCUGAAAGAUGGGCUCGCGUCCGAUUAGCUAGAUGGUGAGGUAACGGCCCACCAUGGCGACGAUCGGUAGCCGGACUGAGAGGUUGAACGGCCACAUUGGGACUGAGACACGGCCCAGACUCCUACGGGAGGCAGCAUG
rnacentral:rRNA from 1 species